UACGUAGGGUGCGAGCGUUGUCCGGAAUUAUUGGGCGUAAAGGGCUCGUAGGCGGUCUGUCGCGUCGGGAGUGAAAACUCAGGGCUUAACCCUGAGCCUGCUUCCGAUACGGGCAGACUAGAGGUAUGCAGGGGAGAACGGAAUUCCUGGUGUAGCGGUGGAAUGCGCAGAUAUCAGGAGGAACACCUGCGGCGAAGGCGGGUUGCUGGGCCGACACUGACGCUGAUGCGCGAAAGCCAGGGGAGCGAACGGG
rnacentral:rRNA from 1 species